UGGGUCGCCGCCGCCUCCCCGGGCGCCUCUUCCCACCUCUAGCUAGCGAGCCUGAGACUCCCGGCGCGCGCACACACAUUCUCACGCUUCCCCAACCUCCCCUCUGGCACCGGCACCCGCCGGCUGCGGGGGACCUCAGCGAGUGGUGGGUGCUAAGCACCCAGGCAGGCGAGUGCGUGAUCCCUCGCCCCGCCGACCCCCUCGCAGCCACUCCCCUGCCUUCCAGCCCAAAAAGGAGAGGACACAGCAACUCCCCCACCACUCCGGACAUACCACCUCUAGGUACUAUCCAGGAUGCUGUGGAUACCAUAAUGAAGGAGAUAUGGACCCUGUCAUGGAAGAACUCACCUGCUGGUAGAGACAGUAAAGAAAUUAUUAGGAUGCAAAAUGAUAGGUGCAGUCAAUGAGGAGCCAUUAUAUGCUGAGAAACAUGAUACAUCCUGGGAAAAGGAGACUCAAUAAAACUAAACUGAAAGAAGAAUGAAUAAAGGCGAUGAAAGAGAAAACUGUGGAGUCUGGAGGGGAAAAAGAAGAGCCAGCCUCUCUUCCCCACUCCAACUGAAAUGAUUAUUGAAAUGUGACAUCAAAGGCACAAAUUAUGAAGGAAAGGUAUAAUAAAUUUUGACAUACCAAAAAAGGAUAAAGAAAGACUGUGCUGUCUAGGAACAUGGGCCCAAGUCAGAGUUACCCAUCUGUGGAAUGACUUCCUGUGCACCUGAGGGCCUGAAAGGAUCCGACAACCCCACAGCAUGGGACAGUGGUCAGGUGGUGAUGACACUCUGCCAGAUACCAGUGCAAAUUGACAACGGCUGCAGUGUAUGUGACCUGGGUCCUCCAAGUCCCUCCACUCUCCGUGACAUAGUAAAAUCCCCAGACUCUGACGCUGAGACACAACCCAGAGAAAGGGAAAGA